CCCCGGUAAACGGCGGCCGUAACUAUAACGGUCCUAAGGUAGCGAAAUUCCUUGUCGGGUAAGUUCCGACCUGCACGAAUGGCGUAAUGAUGGCCAGGCUGUCUCCACCCGAGACUCAGUGAAAUUGAACUCGCUGUGAAGAUGCAGUGUACCCGCGGCAAGACGGAAAGACCCCGUGAACCUUUACUAUAGCUUGACACUGAACAUUGAGCCUUGAUGUGUAGGAUAGGUGGGAGGCUUUGAAGUGUGGACGCCAGUCUGCAUGGAGCCGACCUUGAAAUACCACCCUUUAAUGUUUGAUGUUCUAACGUGGACCCGUAAUCCGGGUUGCGGACAGUGUCUGGUGGGUAGUUUGACUGGGGCGGUCUCCUCCUAAAGAGUAACGGAGGAGCACGAAGGUUGGCUAAUCCUGGUCGGACAUCAGGAGGUUAGUGCAAUGGCAUAAGCCAGCUUGACUGCGAGCGUGACGGCGCGAGCAGGUGCGAAAGCAGGUCAUAGUGAUCCGGUGGUUCUGAAUGGAAGGGCCAUCGCUCAACGGAUAAAAGGUACUCCGGGGAUAACAGGCUGAUACCGCCCAAGAGUUCAUAUCGACGGCGGUGUUUGGCACCUCGAUGUCGGCUCAUCACAUCCUGGGGCUGAAGUAGGUCCCAAGGGUAUGGCUGUUCGCCAUUUAAAGUGGUACGCGAGCUGGGUUUAGAACGUCGUGAGACAGUUCGGUCCCUAUCUGCCGUGGGCGCUGGAGAACUGAGGGGGGCUGCUCCUAGUACGAGAGGACCGGAGUGGACGCAUCACUGGUGUUCGGGUUGUCAUGCCAAUGGCACUGCCCGGUAGCUAAAUGCGGAAGAGAUAAGUGCUGAAAGCAUCUAAGCACGAAACUUGCCCCGAGAUGAGUUCUCCCUGAGACUUAGAGUCUCCUGAAGGAACGUUGAAGACGACGACGUUGAUAGGCCGGGUGUGUAAGCGCAGCGAUGCGU
rnacentral:rRNA from 1 species